rnacentral:piRNA from 1 species
GAGGUGACCAUUCAAGCAUCCAAAUGGGC